GGGAGGGAAGCAGGGAAGGAGGAACGCCGCUGAGUUCCGCCCUAGCAGCCAUGGCCGCGUAGCGUCUUCUCGGCAGCCGCGCUCGGACAUGGGCCUGCCCCGGGCCGGCGGGCGGAGGCAGCGAGUCCCCGCGGCGAAAAAUAUUGAUAGAGACUUAUAAGAAGCUGUAACAACCUAGAAGGGACAUAAGUAACAAUAUUAACAUGCCUGCUGUGGCAUCUGUACCUAAGGAGCUAUACCUCUCUACUUCAUUGAAAGAUCUCAACAAGAAGACAGAAGUAAAACCUGAAAAGACCAGUACAAAAAGUUAUGUACAGAGUGCCCUUAAGAUUUUCAAGGCAGCAGAGGAAAGCAGACUGGAUGGAGAUGAAGAAAAAGCUUACAUCCUAUAUAUGAAAUAUGUGGCUGUUUAUAAUCUUAUUAGAAAGAGACCUGAUUUUAAGCAGCAACAGGAUUAUUUUCAUUCAAUUCUUGGACCUACAAAUUUAAAAAAAGCUCUCGAUGAAGCUGAAAUACUGUCAGACAGCCUUAAACUCAGAUACGAGGAAGCUGAAGUUCGGAAAAAACUUGAAGAGAGGGACAGACAAGAGCUGCAGAAAAAGCAAGAACCAAAAGAUGAUGGAAAGAGCUCAGGCAAAAACUCCUCAGAAAGUGCUGUGGAUUCCAAAGGAAAAAGCCAAAGGAUUAAUGGUGAGACGAAGCAUUCACUGGAAAGAAAGGAUCAGUCUGAUAGCCUGAGUGGAGCAGUCACACCUGAGAAACUGUUUGCAAUGAUGUCAGACAAAAAUACUGAAUUGCUUAUAAUGGAUGCUCGAAAAUCAAAGGAUUAUCAGGAAUCCUGUAUUCCAAAAUCCAUCAGUGUCCCAGAAGAAGCUAUCCGUCCUGGAGAUACUGCUUAUCUAAUUGAAGCUAGACUCCCAGAGGAUUCUAGAGAUCCAUGGAAGAGGAGAGGACAAUUCCAUUAUGUUAUACUGCUAGACUGGUUUAGUUCUGCUGAAGACUUAAAGCUGGGAACAACUCUUCAGAGCCUGAAAGAUGCACUUUUUAAGUGGGAAAGCAAAACCAUCCUGCAGAAUGAACCUCUAAUUCUAGAGGGAGGUUAUGAAAACUGGCUCCUUUGUUUUCCCCAGUAUACAACAAAUGCUAGAGUAACUCCACCCCAGCAUGGCAAGACUGAAGCAGUGACUGUUUCUUUGGAUUUUACAUAUCCAUCUCUGGAAGAGCCAGCUCCUUUGCCACCUGUUGUUGCUGAAAAUGAAGAAAUGGGAGAUAAUUUGGAAGAGAGACUAAAAUCACUUAACAGACCAAGCAUACAGGAUGCUGCUGUUCCAAAAUCCAACAGUUCCUUUGUAGUUAAUCCAGUGUCAGUUACAAGGAGUAUCCCUGAGGUGGAUCGUUCUAAAAAGCCUUCACUAAAAAUGCUUGAUGAUAACAGAGCAAAACCUCCAAGUACAGUCAGUGACAUCCAGUCUGGUGAGAAUGGAAGAAUAGUUCCAGACCGCUCCACAAAACCCGUGUGUGAUGCAAGGAGCACUCUGACAGAAGAAGAAAAAAGUCGGGUCCAUGCAGAAACUGUUGCUUUAUUAGAGAAAAACAGGCGGGAAAAGGAACUGCGAGAGAGGCAACAACAGGAACAGAAAGAGAGGCUCAAGAGAGAAAAAGAAGAACAAGAACAAAAAGAAAAAGAACAAGAACAAAAGGCAAAAGAAGAACAGAAGGAAAAGGAACACAAAGAAAAGCUACAGCAAUCAAAAGAGGACAGAGAGCAGAAGGAGAAGGAUGAACAAGUAAGAAGAGAACAGGAGGAAAAGGAACAAGAAAGAGCCCACAGAGAAGCAGUAGAAGCAAAAAAGCAAAUUAAAAAUGAACCAGAAAACAUUGGUGCAAAAAGGAUUGAGAUUGACAAAAUAUCCAUGGAAGAAAGAGAAAAGGGAACUCGAACACCAGAAACACAGAAACGGGCACUGGGUGAUGCAUCUCAGAUUCCAGGCAAGCAAAAAGGACAACCAGACAGUGGAACUCAAAAGCCAGGACCCCUUAGAGAGGAUUCUGAACAAGAUACUGAAAGACUUAAAUCCCUGCGGGAGCCAUUAAUGAGAGCACGAAGUGAGGAAAUGGGAAGGAUAGUCCCAGGGCUGCCUGCAGGUUGGGUAAAGUUCCUAGAUGACAUCACUGGAACCUAUCGUUACUAUCACUCGCCAACAAAUACUGUUCAGAUGUACCCCCCAGAAAUGGCUCCUCCAGCCACUCCUCCAUCAACUCCUCCAACUCGGAAAGCCAAGCCAAAGGUGACUGUUGAACGGGAGAGGGAACACUCCAAACUGAAGCGCUCCUACUCAUCCCCAGACAUAACCCAAGCCAUUCAGGAGGAAGACAAGAAAAGAAUUCCUGUAACUCCUGCAGUCAAUCGUGACAAUAAACCUGCCUGUUACACUAAAGCAGAAAUUUCCAGGCUCUCUGCAUCGCAGAUUCGGAAUCUUAAUCCUGUGUUUGGGGGAUCGGGACCAGCUCUGACAGGACUUCGUAAUCUAGGGAACACUUGCUACAUGAAUUCCAUAUUACAGUGUCUGUGCAAUGCACCUCACCUGGCUGAGUAUUUCAACAGAAACUUGUAUCAAGCUGAUAUUAACAGGUCAAAUUUCCUGGGGCAUAAAGGUGAAGUGGCUGAAGAGUUUGGUGUAAUAAUGAAAGCUUUAUGGGCAGGACAGUAUAAAUAUAUCAGUCCAAAAGACUUCAAAAUUACAAUUGGGAAGAUUAAUGAUCAAUUUGCAGGAUAUAGCCAACAGGACUCCCAAGAAUUACUUCUCUUUCUAAUGGAUGGCUUGCAUGAAGACCUAAAUAAAGCUGACAACAGGAAAAGGUACAAGGAAGAAAAUAAUGAUCACCUUGAUGACUCAAGUGCAGCAGAAAUAGCCUGGCACAAACACAAACAGCUCAACGAGUCCAUCAUUGUGGCACUCUUCCAAGGGCAGUUCAAAUCCACCGUGCAGUGUCUGACGUGUCACAAGAGGUCCCGAACCUUCGAGGCUUUCAUGUAUCUGUCGUUACCACUCGCAUCCUCCAGCAAAUGCACUCUGCAGGAAUGCCUUAGAUUGUUCUCCAAAGAAGAAAAGCUCACUGAUAACAAUAGAUUUUACUGUAGCCAUUGCAAAACUCGAAGGGAUUCUUCAAAAAAAAUAGAAAUUUGGAAAUUACCACCUGUUCUUCUUGUGCACUUGAAACGAUUUUCCUAUGAUGGAAGAUGGAAACAAAAGCUUCAAACUUCAGUAGAUUUUCCACUGGAAACUCUUGACCUCUCACAGUAUGUUAUUGGUCCAAAGACUUCCUUGAAGAGAUACAAUCUGUUCUCAGUAUCGCACACAGUCUGGUCUGGUUGUGUGCUUUUGCUUCGGUAUCCUUCUGUUAGUUCCUGAAAGGCAGCUUAGACCAACCUACUGUACAUAACCAGCAGAAAAACAAGAAUUUCCAGAAAAGUUCAGAAGAGGAGAACAGCAUUCCAUGUAAUAAUUGCCUAAGUCGUGAAAUGGCGGAGGAAACAGCUGUAGUUCCCAAAACACCACAGCUGGGCUCACCUCCUUGAAAGCCUCGUGGAGGUCAUCCAGCACACAGAUGAGGAACUCCUGUGCAUCAUGCUGAGUCCUCCUGCUAAAAGCUGGGUACCGCUUCCCAAAGAUGGAAUGAAAAGCCUCAGGGGAAAUAUAAUCAAACUCUCCAAGCCACAUGUCGGACACCAAACAGCCAAAGGCAGUCGCAGACUCGCCAAUCUCCCUUGGAAAAAAGGGGAGAGUUUCAGAUGAUGUAUGAAAAAAUAGUGUCUGCCUUUAAGUGGGAGCACAAGACAGAAACUCAGAAAACAGAUAAAGGUACAGGAGAGCUUUGGCACCUGUUGCUUGACUUGAGGGAAUCUGCAGAUCCCAAAGUGGUAGGAAUCAUCAUCAUGACAGCAGUAAUGGGUAUUGCCAUCAAUAUGGCAAGAAAAGCUAUCAUGAUCAAGGACCCAGCAAGGAAUCAAGCUGGGCUCUCAAAGGAGAAAGAAACCAGCUGGUGGCAAAUCUGACUGGAACUGCCUGUGGGGAGCUGGCAGGUGCCUUGGACAUUCCCAUGGCAACAGGUAUCCUUUGGAAGGAAAAUAGUGCCAAGCAGAAAGCUUUCAGUACUGUGAACAAACCAACUCACUCGUGCAGGGCUGUGUUCCACGUUCCUGAAAGGAAAUGCUGCACGAGCGGGGUCAGGCUGCAGAGGCACUGCAGCACCGCGUUCAUGUAGCACGUGUUCUCCAGGUUCUGCAGCCCUGUGAGCCCUGGGUGCAGGCUGCUUAUAUCUUCCAGCUGUUCCUUGGGGGAAUACUUCCAUUUCCAUGCCAUCCUUCCACCUACUAUGAGAAAAAUCCACAGCAGUGGAAAUCAAAAAUGCUACAGUUUCUUCUUUAAAAAUUACAUUCUCAUUUAUUUUCAUGAGGUUUAUAGUGGUGAAGGCUCUUCAUCUUCCCCACUAAGCUCUUUCCAGUAUGGCAAGAUACAUCAUUAUGAGGUAUUAUUUAAACACCAGAGGUUUUAAGAUUUUUUCCUGAAAUUCCAUUCAGUCUUUUACUCCAUACACAGUUACUCAAAGACUACAACCACUUGUGAAUAGCCAUCUUUACGGCAAAAUGCUUAGCAGUGCAUAUUACAUUAUAUUUCAUUGCCUCAGGGGUACAGUACUCAUUAUUUUCUAAAACCAUAGGAUGCAAUCCAGAUGCUACUACAAACAGGUUGUUCUUCAGAUUUGUGCUAUAAAGUGUUGCUUAAUUCAUGUUAGGAAAAUUUGAGUAGGUUUCUGGCUGUACAAGUCUGUCCUGGACCAAACUGACCCCUUCCCCAGUCAGGCAGUCAAGAGGCUGAACACAGACCCUACACCACCCAUGUGCUCACUGAUGUUGCUCUUUUUUAGAGGCUGAUGUUCUAAUUUGAGGCAGGACAGAGAACUCUAAAACCACAGCAAUCUCCAUAGAGCAAAGAUGAGUGGUGCCCCCUGUGUUCCAUGCUGUCGCCCUGGCUAUUCCUGCCCCAGCCCCUUGUGAUGUCACUUGGUUACUCUGGGCAGGGAGCACACCUGGUCAGACCUGCCUCCAUCUCCCUCCACGUGCCAGCCAGAACAGAAAACCUUGGGAAGAGAGGAGCACCCACCCAUUCCACUGAGCAGGGAGCUUUGGCCCAACACACCUUUAUCCAUAUUCGCUCAUGCUUGUAUUAGGACUUAUUAUUGCCGUGCCCUGCUGGAAGUGAUGACUGAGGGUGUUGACCAUAAAAGGAUGGAGCUAUCUCAAAACAUCAUACUGAAUUCGUUUCUUGGUGUUCUGAAGAUUUUCCUGAGAGGGAAAAAAAAAAGGUAUGGCAGAUGCCUUUUAAUUAGUUACAUUAAUGCAGUUCAUCUCUGAAUUCCAUAUGCCACUGAAGAGCAGCAGUUUUUCCCUAUUUAACAGACAACUUGGGAAGUAACAAGUAUCCACAGAAGAGGCCUAUGAAGUGAUUUAAAAAACCUAAUCAUCUUACUUGUUAAACUUGAAGCAAAGGACGUCUCCAGCACUCCUGACACAGCUGUCACUGCUAUUGACCCUUCAAAAUCUGAUUUAGUUUCGUAAAUGGAACUGGAUAUGUUUAUUCCCACUUUUUGUGGAAUCUGAAUCAAGACUUUGACUUACUUUUUUAAUGUAUUAUGAUACACAAAUCCACACGGGUGCUACCUACUGCAAGCUCUGAGGCUGACAAUUAACUUCCCAUUACUCUCACUACAAAGUGGAUUACUGCAAGGAAAAGUGUUAAUUGUGAAAAGAAGGAUUAAACCAUCAGAACUUUUUUCAGAGGCUUUGUUACAUGUUAAAAGAUCCUAUUUUAUUCCUAACUGGUCUUUUAGAAAUAUUUAACAUGAACUGCUACUACCAAGUCUCCAGCUGUAAUCUCUUUCCCCUCCAAAAUUCCUGCAGUGUUAAGAGUUAUGGCAUUAAGUGAGAUGCAACCACAAGGAAUUCAAGUGUAGGAAGUCACUGUCACAGGCUUAGAAACCAAAGCUUUCCUUUUCCAAAUCACAAAGCUGCUGAGCAGCAGCUAGAAAAAGAGCUGCCCAGGAGCUCUGUAUUUUGCCACAAUGCAUUUGGGAUUGGUUUUCUCUGAAAUGUUUCACCACC